UACGUAGGUGGCAAGCGUUGUUCGGAAUUAUUGGGCGUAAAGAGCUUGUAGGCGGUUUGUCGCGUCUGCUGUGAAAUUUCGGGGCUCAACCCCGAACUUGCAGUGGGUACGGGCAGACUAGAGUGUGGUAGGGGAGACUGGAAUUCCUGGUGUAGCGGUGAAAUGCGCAGAUAUCAGGAGGAACACCGGUGGCGAAGGCGGGUCUCUGGGCCGAUACUGACGCUGAGGAGCGAAAGCGUGGGGAGCGAACAGG
rnacentral:rRNA from 1 species